rnacentral:rRNA from 1 species
UACGUAGGGUGCAAGCGUUGUCCGGAAUUAUUGGGCGUAAAGAGCUCGUAGGCGGUCUGUCGCGUCUGCUGUGAAAACCUAGGGCUUAACCCUGGGCGUGCAGUGGGUACGGGCAGACUAGAGUGCGGUAGGGGAGACUGGAAUUCCUGGUGUAGCGGUGAAAUGCGCAGAUAUCAGGAGGAACACCGGUGGCGAAGGCGGGUCUCUGGGCCGUAACUGACGCUGAGGAGCGAAAGCCAGGGGAGCAAACGGG